GGAGGGUGCAAGCGUUAAUCGGAAUUACUGGGCGUAAAGCGCACGCAGGCGGUUUGUUAAGUCAGAUGUGAAAUCCCCGCGCUUAACGUGGGAACUGCAUUUGAAACUGGCAAGCUAGAGUCUUGUAGAGGGGGGUAGAAUUCCAGGUGUAGCGGUGAAAUGUGUAGAGAUCUGGAGGAAUACCGGUGGCGAAGGCGGCCCCCUGGACAAAGACUGACGCUCAGGUGCGAAAGCGUGGGGAGCAAACAGGAUUAGAUACCCUGGUAGUCCACGCUGUAAACGAUGUCGACUUGGAGGUUGUGCCCUUGAGGCGUGGCUUCCGGAGCUAACGCGUUAAGUCGACCGCCUGGGGAGUACGGCCGCAAGGUUAAAACUCAAAUGAAUUGACGGGGGCCCGCACAAGCGGUGGAGCAUGUGGUUUAAUUCGAUGCAACGCGAAGAACCUUACCUACUCUUGACAUCCACGGAAUUCGCCAGAGAUGGCUUAGUGCCUUCGGGAACCGUGAGACAGGUGCUGCAUGGCUGUCGUCAGCUCGUGUUGUGAAAUGUUGGGUUAAGUCCCGCAACGAGCGCAACCCUUAUCCUUUGUUGCCAGCACGUAAUGGUGGGAACUCAAAGGAGACUGCCGGUGAUAAACCGGAGGAAGGUGGGGAUGACGUCAAGUCAUCAUGGCCCUUACGAGUAGGGCUACACACGUGCUACAAUGGCAUAUACAAAGAGAAGCGAACUCGCGAGAGCAAGCGGACCUCAUAAAGUAUGUCGUAGUCCGGAUUGGAGUCUGCAACUCGACUCCAUGAAGUCGGAAUCGCUAGUAAUCGUAGAUCAGAAUGCUACGGUGAAUACGUUCCCGGGCCUUGUACACACCGCCCGUCACACCAUGGGAGUGGGUUGCAAAAGAAGUAGGUAGCUUAACCUUCGGGAGGGCGCUUACCACUUUGUGAUUCAUGACUGGGGUGAAGUCGUAAC
rnacentral:rRNA from 1 species